CCAGACUCCUACGGGAGGCAGCAGUGGGGGAUAUUGCACAAUGGGGGGAACCCUGAUGCAGCGACGCCGCGUGGGUGAAGGAGCACCUCGGUGCGUAAAGCCCUAUCGGCAGGGAAGAAACAGACGGUACCUGACUAAGAAGCCCCGGCUAACUACGUGCCAGCAGCCGCGGUAAUACGUAGGGGGCAAGCGUUAUCCGGAUUCACUGGGUGUAAAGGGAGCGUAGACGGCGACGCAAGUCUGGAGUGAAAGCCCGGGGCCCAACCCCGGGACUGCUCUGGAAACUGCGGCGCUGGAGUACGGGAGGGGCAGGCGGAAUUCCUGGUGUAGCGGUGAAAUGCAUAGAUAUCGCGCAGAACCCCGAUUGCGAAGGCAGCGUGCCGUGCCGCCACUGACGCUGAGGCACGAAAGCGCGGGGAUCGAACAGGAUUAGAUACCCUGGUA
rnacentral:rRNA from 1 species